rnacentral:misc_RNA from 1 species
GAAAUGCGAUAAGUAAUGUGAAUUGCAGAAUUCAGUGAAUCAUCGAAUCUUUGAACGCACAUUGCGCCCCGUGGUAUUCCGCGGGGCAUGCCUGUUCGAGCGUCAUUUAAACCAAUCCAGCUUGCUGGGUCUUGGGCUCUCGCCUCCGGGCGGGCCCUAAAAUCAGUGGCGGUGCCGUCCGGCUCUAAGCGUAGUAAUACUCCUCGCUACAGGGUCCCGGGCGGUCGCUUGCCAGCAACCCCUAAAUCUUUCAGGUUGACCUCGGAUCAGGUAGGGAUACCCGCUGAACUUAA